CCUACGGGUGGCAGCAGUGGGGAAUAUUGGACAAUGGGCGAAAGCCUGAUCCAGCCAUGCCGCGUGUGUGAAGAAGGCCUUCGGGUUGUAAAGCACUUUCAGUGGGGAAGAAAGCCUUGGGGCUAAUACCCUCGAGGAAGGACAUCACCCACAGAAGAAGCACCGGCUAACUCCGUGCCAGCAGCCGCGGUAAUACGGAGGGUGCGAGCGUUAAUCGGAAUUACUGGGCGUAAAGCGCGCGUAGGCGGUCUGAUAAGCCGGUUGUGAAAGCCCCGGGCUCAACCUGGGAACGGCAUCCGGAACUGUCAGGCUAGAGUGCAGGAGAGGAAGGUAGAAUUCCCGGUGUAGCGGUGAAAUGCGUAGAGAUCGGGAGGAAUAACAGUGGCGAAGGCGGCCUUCUGGACUGACACUGACGCUGAGGUGCGAAAGCGUGGGUAGCAAACAGGAUUAGAUACCCGUGUAGUC
rnacentral:rRNA from 1 species